AGCAGCCGCGGUAAUUCCAGCUCCAAUAGCGUAUAUUAAAGUUGUUGCAGUUAAAAAGCUCGUAGUUGAAUUUCGGGAUUAGUACGCUGGUCGUGCCUUCGGUACGUACUGGUGUUACUGAUUCCUACCUUCUGACGAACCGUCAUGUCAUUAAUUUGAUGUGGCGGGGAAUCAGGACUGUUACUUUGAAAAAAUUAGAGUGUUUAAAGCAGGCUCGCGCUUGAAUACAUUGGCAUGGAAUAAUGAAAUAGGACGUUCGAUCCUAUUUUGUUGGUUUCUAGGAUUGACGUAAUGAUUAAUAGGGAUAGUUGGGGGCAUUAGUAUUCAAUUGUCAGAGGUGAAAUUCUUGGAUUUAUUGAAGACUAACUACUGCGAAAGCAUUUGCCAAGGAUGUUUUCAUUAAUCAAGAACGAAAGUUAGGGGAUCGAAGACGAUCAGAUACCGUCGUAGUCUUAACCAUAAACUAUGCCGACUAGGGAUCGGAUGAUGUUAUUUUUAANGACUCAUUCGGCGCCUUAAC
rnacentral:rRNA from 1 species